GGUCCGGCAUCAACAGGAAGCUUCCCACAAGCUCAACUCUACUACCUGCUUCCCUUCUCCCCUUGGCGUUGAUCUUUUUUUUUUUCUCUGAACCCUCUUCAGCGCCGGUACUCUACGGCGAGAAACAGCUCCAAAUGUCCAAACUGGUCCUCGGGGACUCCUUGUGUGAAUGAGUCAGGUACUAGUUGUUGAUCACAUGGUCAUCUUGCUCCUACACAGUAGGAACUUAUUGAAGACAGAGCACAAAUGUUUCCUUGAAAUCUAAUGGGGUUCUUUUUGAGUGAGAACAGGGGUCGCGUGUGUCUGCAAGUACAAGCACAUGUCUGGGAAGCGGGGAAUGGGACAUUGUGGAGUCAAGAUUCUCUCGGUUCUUGGCCUCCUACCCUCCCACUGGAGUCAACAGACUACGGCAGUCCACACCGACUGUUGGAGAGAUGGAGUAUUUUCCGGGGCAGCAUCAGCUUCAUUUCACGAGGCUAAUUGACAUGUUAAUCAUACACGAUAGCAAGGGAAUGUGUUAAAGAGCGAGAUGGCAAACGCGUCUUGUUUUCUAAGUCAAAACUUGGAUGAAAUCUGCAUUCUGCAGCAAGCCUCUUAGGCUACAAUCCACCCCACCCAGCUGUUCCUCUUAGAGCUGCGCCAGGCUCUUUCUGGAACCUGAAGCCCAGGAACUUCUCCUCCUAACAUCGCAGUCUUGCCGAGAUCCUUGCUCGUCUACGCCUCUGGUACAGCGGAUGAAGCUAAGCUCUUGAUAAAUAUUUAUGGGCAUAUUGAUCACUUGUUUCUUCAAAAUUCAGAACAACUACAAACAUAAAUCAAAUUUUUCUCUGCGGAAGAGUGGAAAGAGCGGUCUGCCUAGCUCUGGAGCAGCUCCCACCUAGAGCAGGGCUCUACUUCCCACCUACGAUGGUGGACACAGCAGUGCCACGAAGUGUCUCUGAGAAUGAGAACGUGGCUCCAGAGAAGCGGAGACUCGCAGACGGCACAGGCAAAGUUGUGAGUCAUGUGAGAUAGCAACGAAAAGAAGCAGAGAGGUGAGAGGAGACAACUCCCAGAAGCAGCAAGCACACCCAGGAAAUGAACUAGCGAGCCUUCUUUCCUUCCUCACCACUGGACCUCCAAGAAACAAGCAGUAGGCUUGUGCUCUCCUUGGGCUUUGCUUUUGUUUUGCCUUUGGUCCUCAGGAAGGACGAGCAGGGGGGAUCUGAGGAGGUUUUUGGAUUCAAGGUUUCUCUGUGUAUCUUUGGUUGUCCUGGAACUCACUCUGUGGACCAGGCUGGCCUCGAACUCACAGAGAUCUGCCUCCCUCUGCCUACUGAGUGCUGAGAUUAAAGGCGUGCACCUCCAGGCUCAGCUCAAUGAUCUCAUUUCUGAAAGAUGCUUGGUUCCGAGGUAGGAAUCCAAUUCAGCACUUUGUCCGCAUCUCCCGGGAGUGUAAACCCUCCGUGUCAUUUCAGCCUCCCUGUGCCUUGCGAAGAGAGGGGAUGAUGGAACAUUUCCAGCUAAAAACUCUCCGUGCAGUUCAGCUCCGAGCCAUUUGCCAUCUCAUUUCCCCUUCAGUCAUGCUUCCCCCGCCUCCUAGGGGUCACCGGACAACUGAAUCCUGGCCCCACUUCUCAGACUUUGCUUGGGGGUUGCUUACAGCCAUAUCUUUCUUUCACUCUUUCUCCCUUUAGCAUCUCUCAAAUUAAUGCCCCCCCUAACUUGGCCUCUCACCACACUGAGCCUUGGUUACAAUCACGUAACUCUUCUUUCUUGUCUCUCCACUCCUCCAACACACACCCUGUAGGACCUGCCGCCCCCCACCACCAAACACCUCUGAUCAUCCCUGAACUCCUUGACAGAGUAUCCCUCUACCAGAGCACCCUAGCAAGACACCCCCUAUCUGAAACCCAGUGAGUCACCCUGAAGCUCACUCCAAAGGACAUUCAAACUCCUUUGCUCAAUUCCAGGACCUGGAAUGCCCCAAUUCUCACCUUCUUAGCCUGACACUCUUGUCUUGUUCCUCACUUUUUGUUUCUCUGUCUCUACCCGUGAUGCUUUUCUCUUUAGGCUUAUGUCCCUCCUCCCUUUCAAACCUCAGCUCACAGGUGAGCUUUCCCCCAGUCCACGGACCAAUUUCUGCCAUUCUCUUAGACUUCACACUGCCCUUGCUGCUAAUAAAUACGCUUCUUUUGA